rnacentral:pre_miRNA from 1 species
AGUAGAAUUGCUGGGUCAUAUUGUUUAUCCAAGGAACAACCAAAUUCUUUUUCAAAGUGACCAUACCAUUUUACAUCCCUAACAGUAAU